rnacentral:rRNA from 1 species
GCGGUUAAAGAUGGGCGUGCGCCUGAUUAGGUAGUUGGCGGGGUAACGGCCCACCAAGCCUGCGAUCAGUAACUGGUGUGAGAGCACGACCAGUCACACGGGCACUGAGACACGGGCCCG